rnacentral:rRNA from 1 species
UACAGAGGUCCCAAGCGUUGUUCGGAUUCAUUGGGCGUACAGGGUGCGUAGGCGGCGCGGUAAGUCGGGUGUGAAAUCUCGGAGCUUAACUCCGAAACUGCAUUCGAUACUGCCGUGCUUGAGGACUGGAGAGGAGACUGGAAUUUACGGUGUAGCGGUGAAAUGCGUAGAUAUCGUAAGGAAGACCAGUGGCGAAGGCGGGUCUCUGGACAGUUCCUGACGCUGAGGCACGAAGGCCAGGGGAGCAAACGGG